UUUUAAAUCUAAAAUUUAACUAAGGGCAAUUUUGAAAUAAACUAUGUUUUAGUGUCAAAAUUACUGAAUUUUAUAAACUGAACCAAAUAUAAUAAUAUUAUAAAUACUGCAAUCAAGUAGUACAUUAUUGUAUUAAACCAAACGCGUUAAUGUAGCAUCAGUAGUAAUCUUAUUUAAAAAUUCAAGAUAUCUGGAUAUAUCGAAAUACUCUGUAAUAUUAUAUACGCCAAACCAAACGCGCCCUUAAGAAACAAAUCAUAACUCUAACAAGCUAAGUUUAUUUCUAAAUGAAAUAAACGAAGCGGGUAGCGUGCUAUCUAUCUCCCUCAAAAA
rnacentral:lncRNA from 1 species